GAUGAAGAACGCAGUGAAAUGCGAUACUUGGUGUGAAUUGCAGAAUCCCGUGAACCAUCGAGUCUUUGAACGCAAGUUGCGCCCGAAGCCAUUAGGCCGAGGGCACGCCUGCCUGGGCGUCACACGUCGUUGCCCCCCCAUCUACUCCUUCGGGAUUGCGGGGGGCGGAUGAUGGCCUCCCGUGCGCCUCGUCGCGCGGUUGGCAUAAAUGCCAAGUCCUCGGCGACGCACGCCACGACAAUCGGUGGUUGCGAAACCUCGGUUGCCCGUCGUGUGCGGUCGUCGCGCAUCGAGGGCUCGAAAAAAUUGCCGGGCUUCGGCUCGACUUUCAACGCGACCCCAGGUCAGGCGGGGUUACCCGCUGAAUUUAAGCAUAUCAAUAAGCGGAGGA
rnacentral:misc_RNA from 1 species